rnacentral:rRNA from 1 species
UUAGACCACGGCGACGGUGGAGUAAUACCUAGGAACUUUCUUUAAGUGGAGCAUAACCCAUAGAAAUGUGGGAUAAUACUCCAUGCCAUCGCAAGAUGAAAGUCGCAAGACGCUUAAAGUGAGGCCUGGGCACCAUCAGCUAGUUGGUAAGGUAAUGGCUUACCAAGGCUAUGACGGUUAGGGGUCCCGAGAGGGAUAACCCCCACACUGGAACUGCGACACGGUCCAG